rnacentral:rRNA from 1 species
UACGUAGGGGGCAAGCGUUGUCCGGAUUUAUUGGGCGUAAAGAGCGUGUAGGCGGCUAGGUAGGUCCGUUGUGAAAACUCGAGGCUCAACCUCGAGCUGUCGAUGGAAACCAUCUGGCUAGAGUCCGGAAGAGGAGAGUGGAAUUCCUGGUGUAACGGUGAAAUGCGCAGAUAUCAGGAAGAACACCCGUGGCGAAGGCGGCUCUCUGGUACGUGACUGACGCUGAGACGCGAAAGCGUGGGGAGCGAACAGG